rnacentral:rRNA from 1 species
UACGUAGGUGGCGAGCGUUGUCCGGAUUUAUUGGGUUUAAAGGGUGCGUAGGCGGUCUUAUAAGUCAGUGCUGAAAUAUCUCGGCUUAACCGAGAGGGUGGCAUUGAUACUGUAGGACUUGAGUGGAAUUGAGGUAUGCGGAAUUGACGGUGUAGCGGUGAAAUGCUUAGAUAUCGUCAAGAACACCAAUAGUGAAGACAGCAUACUAAACUUUAACUGACGCUGAGGCACGAAAGUGUGGGGAUCAAACAGG